UUAAAUUGAAGAGUUUGAUCAUGGCUCAGAUUGAACGCUGGCGGCAGGCCUAACACAUGCAAGUCGAACGGUAACAGGAARCAGCUUGCUGYUUYGCUGACGAGUGGCGGACGGGUGAGUAAUGUCUGGGAAACUGCCYGAUGGAGGGGGAUAACUACUGGAAACGGUAGCUAAUACCGCAUAACGUCGCAAGACCAAAGAGGGGGACC
rnacentral:rRNA from 1 species